rnacentral:rRNA from 1 species
UACGUAGGGUGCGAGCGUUGUCCGGAUUUAUUGGGCGUAAAGAGCUCGUAGGCGGUUUGUUGCGUCUGCUGUGAAAUUCCGGGGCUUAACUUCGGGUGUGCAGUGGGUACGGGCAGGCUUGAGUGCGGUAGGGGAGAUUGGAAUUCCUGGUGUAGCGGUGGAAUGCGCAGAUAUUAGGAAGAACACCGAUGGCGAAGGCAGGUCUCUGGGCUGUUACUGACGCUGAGGAGCGAGAGCGUGGGGAGCGAACAGG